GGAGUCUAGCAUGUGCGCGAGUCAUUGGGACACGACUAAACCUAAAGGCGCAAUGAAAGUGAAGGUCUGUCUUGCACAGUCCGAGGGAGGAUGGGUGACGGUUCGUCCGUCGCUCCGCACUCCCGGGGCGUCUCGUUCUCAUUGCGAGAAGAGGCGCACCAAGAGCGUACACGCUGGGACCCGAAAGAUGGUGAACUAUGCCUGGUCAGGACGAAGUCAGGGGAAACCCUGAUGGAGGUCCGUAGCGAUUCUGACGUGCAAAUCGAUCGUCGGAACUGGGUAUAGGGGCGAAAGACUAAUCGAACCAUCUAGUAGCUGGUUCCCUCCGAAGUUUCCCUCAGGAUAGCUGGCGCUCGUUGUCUACGAGUUUCAUCCGGUAAAGCGAAUGAUUAGAGGCAUUGGGGUCGAAACGGCCUCAACCUAUUCUCAAACUUUAAAUGGGUGAGAUCUCCGGCUUGCUCGAACUACUGAAGCCGCGAGACUCGAAUCAGAGUGCCAAGUGGGCCAUUUUUGGUAAGCAGAACUGGCGCUGUGGGAUGAACCAAACGCCGAGUUAAAGCGCCCAAAUCGACGCUUAUGGGAUACCAUGAAAGGCGUUGGUAACUUAAGACAUCAGGACGGUGGCCAUGGAAGUC
rnacentral:rRNA from 1 species